UGGGGAAUUUUGGACAAUGGGCGAAAGCCUGAUCCAGCAAUGCCGCGUGUGUGAAGAAGGCCUUCGGGUUGUAAAGCACUUUUGUCCGGAAAGAAAUCCUUGGCUCUAAUACAGUCGGGGGAUGACGGUACCGGAAGAAUAAGCACCGGCUAACUACGUGCCAGCAGCCGCGGUAAUACGUAGGGUGCAAGCGUUAAUCGGAAUUACUGGGCGUAAAGCUGCGCAGGCGGUUUGCUAAGACCGAUGUGAAAUCCCCGGGCUCAACCUGGGAACUGCAUUGGUGACUGGCAGGCUAGAGUAUGGCAGAGGGGGGUAGAAUUCCAGUGUAGCAGUGAAAUGCGUAGAGAUGUGGAGGAAUACCGAUGGCGAAGGCAGCCCCCUGGGCAAAUACUGACGCUCAUGCACGAAAGCGUGGGGAGCAAACAGGAUUAGAUACCCUGGUAGUCCACGCCCUAAACGAUGUCAACUAGUUGUUGGGGAUUCAUUUCCUUAGUAACGUAGCUAACGCGUGAAGUUGACCGCCUGGGGAGUACGGUCGCAAGAUUAAAACUUAAAGGAAUUGACGGGGUCAUAGCUGUUUCC
rnacentral:rRNA from 1 species